rnacentral:rRNA from 1 species
GAUGAACGCUGGCGGCGUGCCUAAUACAUGCAAGUCGAGCGAACGGACGAGAAGCUGGCUUUUCUGAUGUUAGCGGCGGAGGGGUGAUUAACACGUGGAUAACCUACCUAUAAGACUGGGAUAACUUCGGGAAACCGUGUCUAAGACCGGAUAAUAUUUUGAACCGCAUGGUUCAAGAGUUAAAGACGGUCGUUCGUUGACUUAUAGAUGGAUCCGCGCUGCAUUAGCUAGUUGGUAAGGUAACGGCUUACCAAGGCAACGAUGCAUAGCCGACCUGAGAGCGUGAUCGGACACACUGGAACUGAGACACGGUCCACACUCCUACGGGAGGCAGCAGUAGGGAAUCUUACGCAAUGGGCGAAAGCCUGACGGAGCAACGCCGCGUGAGUGAUGAAGGUCUUCGGAUCGUAAAACUCUGUUAUUAGGGAAGAACAUAUGUGUAAGUAACUGUGAACAUAUUGACGGUACCUAAUCAGAAAGCCACGGCUAACUACGUG